rnacentral:tRNA from 1 species
UGGCUCAGUGGGUAGAGCAUGGUGUUUGCAAUGCCAGGAUUGUGGGUUCAAUUCCCAC